AUACAACAUUUAGCUCGGUAUUGAGUCUCUUUUUACUUUCUAGAAAUUGAUAGGAUGGGGUGUUGCAUGCAGUGUUAUUGUACAAUUGGUAGCCAGAAACUGGCAAAAAGGACACGAAAACAUUUGUUCACCUUUCUUUCCAUUUUUUCUUCCUCGUUGCAUUUUCAUUUUGUCUCCUUUGAGAUAGAUUGCUGUAUUCUGUUGUUUCAGUCUUUGAAAAUUAUGUGAAAACAACAGUUGAGAGUCGGAAGUAAAAGUUUAGUGCGUUCAUGGAUGCACCGUUUUAUUUAAGAUGUUAUCCUGCUCAUCAUAAGAAAUUAAUUUCAUUAAUAUAAUAGGAGGGUCGCAGGAGAAAAGAUUCCCAUCGCAUGGUGCAGUCCAAAUUCCAUGCAUGUGUUUUUUAUGCUGUCGGCCUCUUCUUUUGAACUGAAACCUGGUGGCAGCAAAGCAUUAGUUAGGAAAAUUCUUGUACUCAGAUCAGACGCCAAAACAUAUUCUUCUGACAACAAAAACUUCCACUCACGUAUUAUCAUGUUCCUAUAAUUACCAGGUCCCACUUAUAUCCUACGUGUUGGUAUUUUGAUUGAGUGGUAGACAAUGACGACAGAUUUUGACAUUUUUGUAUAUAUCUAUUUCCAGUGUUUGUUGGUGUAUGUAUUGUAUUGUAUUGUUGCAUUUGUUUUGGAAUCAAAAUUGGGCAAUAGGUAUAGCUAUUCCUUUUUGCAAGCUUUAAGGUGUCUGACGACCAUACUACCAAGAGUGGGUCCUUUGUUUUUGUUUUCAUAAUUUUCAUUUUUUUAUAAUGAUUUUGGUUUCAAACACAUAUUUUCCUUUCGGAAAUGCAAACUUAAAGACUUCAUUAAAGUGCACAAUGCCAACAACAGUAGUAGUAUAGGGAAAACAAUGAAACAUCACACAAAUUUUCCAACCCAAACGCAUGAUAACUUUUUAGUUCUCUAUUUAAUUUUGUCUUUUUUUAGCUCUUAUAUUUGCAUUUUUUAUCAAAUCACUUCAAAAUUGAUGUAAAAUUAACAUUUAUUAACUUUGUUGAUGUGGCACACUUUGAAUUGUCAUAUAGAUGACAUGGCAUCAUUUAAUUAAUUUUUUUUAAAUUUUAAAAAAUAUUUUUUAAAAUUACAAAUUAUUUAAAAAAUAUUUUUAACAUUUUUGAAUUAAAAAAAUUAAUUAAAUGCUGACAUGUUAUCCACAUCUGUCACAUCUGUAAAAUUAAAAAACUUUAAUUCUUUUCAUCCAUUUUGGGGUGAUUUGUCAAAAAAAACACAAAUUUAAAAACAAAAAAAUUAAUAAUUAAAUUUUUUUUAUAAAGUUUAAAAGUCGAAUAAAUCAUUAUAAAUUUAAUAAUUCCUAUGUAUAAAUAAUAUUAUUCAAAUUAAAUUACGACCACAAUUAAUUACAGUGGUAAUAAUGGCGAGAAACCAUUUUUAAAAGUCGAAUUAGAUUAUUCAUAGGUAUAGGAAGAAGCCCUUUCAAAUAGAGAAUUUUUCUUUCGAUCAUAUUUUGAUUGUUAAUACGAUAUAUAAGGACUGCAAUUACAAAUAGUACUACACCUUUAAUCGUGAAAUAUCGAUUGCUUGUUGAACCCUGUGAAUUGCGUGAAAGUAGGAUACUCCAAAUUCGGGGGUCCAAUAGUUUUAUAAAACGUUCUUGGUGGAAAAGAAUGUGAAUGAAAGAUCUCACUGAAUUGAAUUGGGUCCAUGAAUCUAAGAAAUAAUGAGAAUUCUUAAUCUCUCUCAAUUCGAAAAUUCAGGAUUUGAAUUAAUGUCCUUUCAUUGAUUCCUCCUAAAUUGCAUUGAUUUAUCCUAAAGAUUUCAUUUCAAUCGGAAUUUGGUUAUUCACCAUGUACGAGGAUCACCACUAAGCAUCCAUGGCUGAAUGGUUAAAGCGCCCAAUUCAUAAUUGGCGAAUUCGUAGGUUCAAUUCCUACUGGACGCACACCAAUGGGACCCUCCAAUAAGCCUAUUGGAAUUGGCUCUGUAUCAAUAGAAUCUCAUCAUCUACACAUAAUGAAUUGGUGUGGUAUGUUUAUAUCAUAACAUAUGAACAAUAAGAACUAACAUUCUUAUUGAGACUCAAACUUAUAGGGGAAAAAAUAGAUUGAAUUGAAAAUUGAUGAUGUAUUUUAUUCACAAUAUAUCAUGCUAAAAAGUUGGUUGAAGGUGAAAAUACUAAUAAAAAUCAUUCUAGGCAUAUUUUAUUUUAUUUUAUAAAAGAAAUUGUAUGUGAUAUAUGACAUUUAAAUAUUUAACCAUUGAAUUUAUGUUAAAUUUGUACCAUUUAAUAAAGCUCAAAAAAAUAUUGUGUGUUGGCCUGAUUGUUAAGGUGUUCAUCGCCCUGAGUGUGGUUUAAGUUCGAGUCGCAUUGCUAUUAGGGCUUUGCCCUCCUUUUGUAAUUCACUAAAAAACAAAAGCUCAAAAUUUGUCAUUAAUUCUUAUAUUAUGUAUAAGUUGUGGAUUUAGUUUUUAGAUUUUAAUUUGGUAAGUUUACUCUUUGUAUUUUUUAAAUUAGUCAAUUUUAGUCCUUAUACUUUUCGAAUCUUUAAAAUUUCAAUGUAGAUCCAAACAAUAGUAGUUAAAUCUAUUUGUUAAAUUUCGCUAUUAGUCUUAACUAUGCAUAAAAUUGUAGCUUCAGUUCACACUCUCUAAUUUAGGUCAUAUAUUUUUUAAGUUUUGAAUUUCAAUUUUGACACGAGCAAUAGUUGUGAAUCCAUAGAUUUUUUUGGAGAGUAACUAGUUUAUAAUGUCACAUGCGUGAUAUGUGAUUUGUACAUUUAAUAUUUUAAUUAAUUUUAAAAAAUAAUGUAUUUCUAUUUAUUGUAAUUAGUAUAAAUUAUUGUUAUUUAAUAUGUUGAAAAACAAUUAAAAUAUAUUAACUUUUAACAAUUCAAAUAUUAUAAUAAUAAUGAAAAUUCAAAUCAUAUUAAAGCAUUUUUACCAUAUUCAAUGGACAAUAUAAGUUUACUUCAUAUAAUUAAUAAAAAAAAUUUAUUCAAAAUAAUAAAUAAUAAAAAUUAUAAAUAUAUUUAAUCAUUCAAACAUACUACUAAUAAAAAAUUUCUAAUCACAGUGUAAACUAUAAAAGAAUGAUAUAAUGUACAUUAUACUAUUCACUAUUUAGUUUUUAUUAGUUAAUAAAUUCACUAUAAUAAUAUAAUAUAUAAUAUAUAAUUAAUAUUAUAUAAGUAUAUUUUUAUAUUUUUUAUAAAUUAACUAAAAUGUUAUUAUAUAAACAAUUAAAAUUAAAGUAAUAUAAAUUUUAUUUUUACUUAUUAAUGGAAAUAUAAUAUUUUAAAUAUAAAGUAAUUCAAUAUUAAAUUUAAAUUAUUUACUGUAUACAAUAUUAUGUAAUAAAAAUGUCCUAAUGGAGUAAGAAUUAUUAUUUAUAGGUAUGAUAAAUUUUAUUGUGAAGUAAAUUUAUUUAAUUAAAUUAAAAUUAUUAUUUGUAAAUGUGAUAAAUCUCAUAAAUAAAAAAUAAAAUGACAAGUUCAAUAAUAUAAUGAAUAACAAUUGUUAUAUUGAUCGGUUCAAAAGUUUCUCCAAAUUUGUGAUUAUAGAUGGAGAUUAUAGAAUGUGGAAAUAGUAAGGUAACAUGGUAUAUUUGUCGCAUGAAAAUUUUGAAAUAACAAAACUUAAUUAAUUUAAUAAAGUUUCUCCAAACGUAUUCAGGAUUUUACUCAAAGGGGAACAAAACUUCUAAAUCUGAACGAUCAUUUUCUUAACAUAAAAAAGUGACUAUUCUUCUCGGAUAAUUUUUUUUGUUAUCCAACAAAUUAAUUUAAUAUUUUUUAAAAAGUAUGAACGAUUUAACUGUAACAAAAAUAAAAGAAAAAAAAAUUAUAUUAUAUAAAAUUAAAUAUUUCUUUCUAAUACACAAAAAAUAAUAACUAAUACUAUGCUAAAAAUUUCACAAAUAUCAUUAUAAUUCAAAAAAUUAAAUUUAAAACACUUGGCCUUAGUCCUAUUUCUCAAUACUAGACAUAUAUCCUAAAUUGCACCAUCCAUUUUUUCAUAAGAUCGAAUUCAUCAAUGAUAGAAUCUGUUGAAAAUUCUCGAGCUCUCUUUUUCGAUGUAUGCCACCAAGUAAGUUGAAAGAAAAUCAUCCUCCAUUUUGUUGCAAAACCUUGUCUUCACAAUUUUCAUGGCUGAAAAUGCUAGUUCGAUUGUUGCAAUAGACACGAGAAGAGUUGGCACAAGACGAAUAAUUCUAUCAAGAAGAGGAUAAAUACUUGACUUAUUUGUCUUAGCUAGCACUUGACACAACUUGGCAACUAUAGAAGUUUUCUGCAACUCUGUGCUUUGAUGAGCAUCGAGUUGAAAACGCUCCAAUUGAAUCUUCAUGUGUAGCUUUUCUUGCUCCGUAAAAUAGUCCAGAUAAAAAUCAUUCAUAAGCUUGCAAAUAUCUUCCACUUGAAAAGUUUUGUGAUUGUCACGUGGAUCCAAAGCGGAGGUAAGAACAAGUAACUCCCCUACCUCAUCAUUAAAGCGAGAAUUCAUUUUUGUUAGCAAUGAAUCGAUACUAGCAAUGAAUAUAUCAAAACUGAUAGUGAUGCUCAAUUGUGAGGUUAUCUCUUGCAUGCUAGUAUGGAUAUGGGUCAAAUCAAUUAAUUUUAAAAUUGGCUUUAAAGUCCAUAUUAGACCUUUAAAUUUAGUCAUUCAAAGUCCAUCAUACAUUAAUAUCUGAUUAUUAUUAUUAUUAAAGUUAUAUAAUUAAAAACAAAAAAAUAAUUUGUUAAUAUAAAGUAUUACCUUAUGGCUUAAAAAGGUGAAUUUUAUGAAAUACAAUUUGAUCAAGGGGGAUGGAUGUUAUACAAUGUGGACACCAAAUUUAAAAUACAUGAUAAUUUAUAUAUAAAAUUAAAAAAUCUGAAAAUUCUAAGCCCCCUAGAUCCAUCCUUGUUAACAUCCAUCGUCCCCUUGUCUCUGUGGUAUAGUUAAGAUUAUAGUGCCUUCGAAAUGUUAAUUGUUUUAUUUAAACUUAACAAUUGUAAUUUUGGCCUUUUUUAUUUUAAAGUUUAAAAUUCAAUUUAAGUCAUUUUGAUACGAAUUUUUUUAACUUUGGCCUUCCAAAUUUUUUUAGUUUUAUCUUGGUCUCUAUCACAUAACUCUUGACUUUGCCCCUACAUGGGUUAAAAUUGGCCAGAUUAAAAUAUAUGAACUAAAUCCACAACUUAUUCAUAGUCAUAAGGAUUAAUAGUAGAAUUUAACCAUUAAUAAAAAAGUGUUUUGUUAAAAUUUUUUUAUGUUAUUCCUAAACUACCCAUGAAACCCUCCCUCAAACCCUUUAAAUAGAAUGAUAUAAUCAUGUUCAUACCAACCCUUUCUAGUUAUUGCAAUAAUAAUGAUGUGAGUUAAACCAAAACUUAUUUAAUUAGUAUUAAAAAUAAUUAUUAAUACAGGAAACUGGGUGACCUCUGAUAAUAAUAAAAAAUUGAAACUUGGCAAUGAGCUGGGUUGGUAGUGUGAAUGGAAAAUGAUAUUUAAGAAUGUAAUGUUUUCUUUUGAAAUUUGAGGAGGAGAAUAGAAUAUUCGUUAUUUUUAUUAUUAGAUUAAAAAUUUAUUGGUAAAAAUACGAGAUUAAAUUGUAUACAUAUUUAAAAAAUUAUCUUUAUAGAUUAAUUAAUGAUCAAAAUCUAAAUCAAAUGCAUAAUUAUUAUUUUCGUAGAAAUUUUUUUAAUUGAUAUAAUAACAUAUGUAGUCAUCAAUAUUUACACAUUCUAUUGCAUUAAUCCUAAUUCUUAACCAUUCAAUAAAUUUAACUCUCUACAAUUACAAAAUUUAUUUAAUAUAUUUAACCCAAAAAGCUAUCUACGUUUUUCAUCUCCUUCGUUGCUUUCACUAAAAUUUUCCAUCUCGCUUCACUAUCACCAUCUUUCAUCAAUCAUCACCUUUCUUUUUACACCUAACCAUUUUUCGUUUUAUUUUAUUAAAAGCCAUCAAUUAUUUCUUUUCAAAACAAAAUCCUUACCCUUCAUUUUCCUCUCUUUUUAUAAUUACUAUUAGAACGGAUUUGUUUGAAUAUCCAAAACUAUAAAUCAAGCCCCUUGAGAUCUUUUAAACCCAUCACCUAAUAUUUCGAUCCUUGAUUUGGCCUAUCACUCUUCGAAUUUGGCAAAAAUUGCUUCAACGCUAAGUUUUUGGUUUGACCCGAAGCCUUGGGGUUCGAUUAAGGAUUGUGGUGAGCUCAAGUCAGUGGCUAUGGGGGUUUGAGUGAUUUGAUUAGCUUAAUAUGGCUUCGACUUGUUGUUAAUGGUUUUUGAUUUUUUUUCUAACACCGGAAAAAAAUUUCUAUGAUGUGGCCGACAGUGGUACCAUUAACUAUUCUUUUUGGGAAAAUAAUUACUAAUUUUAUUUUGGGUUUAAAAGAAAUUAAACAAAUAAUAAAUUUUAUUUGAUGAAAAUUUAAAUAAAUUAAAACUUAAAUGACAUGUUACGUAUCUGUUGAUUUUUUUAAUCUACAUGUCAAUUCUUGAUUGGUUAGACUUGCUACAUAAUUAAAAAAAGAAAAUUUGUUUAUGGACUAAAUUUAUAAAAUUUAUAAAUAUGGAGGGUUAAAUUUGUUAAAUUAUUUAUAUAUGACCAGAAUUAUAGAAAUUAUUAGUAUUGAGAACUAAAUGCAUUGUUACGCCAAUUAGAAAAAGUCGUGCCAUUAUUUUGGUUAACGAUUUAUGAAGAGUGACCAAAACAAAAUCACUAAAAACAUUAUUGAUGAAAUUGAAAGUUUUUAUAAUUUGAUGACCUAAAAAGAAAUAUAUUGAUAGUUGGGUGAUUAAUGCUAUAGUUCACCCUAAAAUACAUAUAUGUUGUUAUAAGUGUAAGCGAAUUCAUUAGUCACUAAAUUAUAGGUAAGUUUUCGUUUUGGUCACUUUACUAAAAAAAGUUACAAUUUGGUCACUGAACUGUUUAAAAGUUUUCAUUUGUGUCAAUGAACUAUUCAAAAAAAAAAUAUUUCAAUUAUUGGGCUAUUAAUUUUCUUUUAAAGUUCCGCUAGCGAGUUCCAAGCAACAAUUCAACGAUUGAUAUGAUGGAUCAAUACCUAAACAUGAGUAGAUGAACAUAUCUUAGGUCCAAUUCGAUUUGACGAUCAGUGUUAAAGAUUAAAGCAAAAAAUGUUUAAAUUUUGGUUUGCAGAUUCGUGACAUGCGAAGUUGUUUCAUGAAAAAAAUUUAAAUGUAUAAGAGAAGGAGAAAGAAAGAUUUCGAUUAGUGCAGGAAGUGCGAACAGUGUAAGCCUUAUGGCAUCAAUUUUAACAGGCUAGUGACUUGAAUGAAAAUUUUUGAAUAAUUUAAUGACCAAAUUAUAAUUUUUUUAAUUAAGUAACCAAAACAAAAAUUUAUCCAUAGUUUAGUAACUUACAGUGAAGUUUUCCCUUGUUAUAAAGUCUUAUUCCUUAUCUCAGCCAUUAUUACUGGACCACGGGCUUUGCAAAUUUAUACCUGGGCUUGAUCCAGCUCAUUACUCAUUAAAUUUUCAGCCUAUUCCAUCUUUUUUGUUUUCUCUUUGCCCUAAUACUUAUUGCUUUCCGGCGUCUUGCAUCUCUCCAUAUUCUUAGAAAAAAAAAACUGUUUUUGUUAACCCACCGCUGGCUCCAUCUCCACCACUGCCUUCUCAUUCGCACAAUAUAUACAGCACUCAUAUACACGUUUAUAUUAGUUGUGUGUAUAUUGUCAGGUACUUGAAGAACAACCCCAAGCAUUAAAAUACCACAAAGCUGUGAGAUUUCAGGGCUUUCAUUUCUUUUUAUCACCUUUAGAAAAUACCCAAUUUUGUAUUUGACUCCCAAAGCCAUUUCUUUUAGUUGAGAUGAAGGCGCGGUUAAAAGAAAUGCUAUCUUGAUGUACAUGCAAGCUAGAAACCUUUAUCUGACUUGCCAGUUUUGGUUUUAUUUUUUGUUUUUGUGUGCAGAUUUUGUUGUAAUGGUAAGUUUUCAUUACUUUCUUUUUUGUGCCCGGGGGGGGGGGUUAAAAACAUGUUUUUGAACUUUAAAUUUUGGUUUAGUGGAUUUUGCCCAAUGAUGGAAAACUCAUUGAAUGGAGCAGUUCGACUGAUUUUCGCUUUAGAGCAUUUACUAUCAUCAUUUGUUGUUCAAUUCCUUUUCCUCUUCCACUUCCUCCCCUUCCGUUUCUCUAUCCUUUCUGGUUCCUGUGAUAACUCUCUCCUCUUUCCCUGUUCUCUUUCUCUAUUCUUUCUAUCUAUAAUUCUAUUUAUCUUCUUAUUGACACAGAUGAUGGUUGAUAAAUUCUCUUAAUGAAAACCAGUUUGUUAAUACUGUGAAUGACCAGAUAUAGCUAUGAGAUCUGAGGGCUUUGUUGAACAUUUUGAUUGUAGGAUUAUCAUUCUGUUUUUUUUUCUCAUGUGAUUUGCAUCUUGAUUAUAC
rnacentral:lncRNA from 1 species